AUUAUACAUCUAAGCUGCCCCAAAAGCUGGCGUACUAAUCGUUCAGGCUGCAUGGAUUCUUGCUGGAAACGCGGCCUAUUUCGUUCCAUCCAAAGAUGAUAAACAAAGGAAGCAAGAACUGCUCUUGCUGCCGCAUUGAGGAGAUGUUUAACUGGCCACCGUCGGCUAGCAUUCAUGUAUUCCAAUCUGCCAAGUCCUACCUAUCCAAUAAAAGUUGAUUUCCACUUUAAGUAGUUGUAAGCAUUGCUGGGCGUAAGCACAAGAAAAUAAAAGAUGGUCAUGAUUUUCCAUGGAGUUGCUAGAGCAAAGGACACAAUUCCGUGAUAAAAGUUGCAGCCACGGUAUAUCCGCACGUUCCAGAAUGGCUAGCCACAGAAUAAAACCAUUCCUCGCAAUCUUGAAAGGUCCUUGAAAUAAAGAGAACCAUGGGACUUUGGCGCUUGGAGGGUGAAAAAGAGCGUAUGCCUCACAAGUAUUGAAAACAGUGUGUUUCCCUUUCCAACGUACCGAAUCCGCACCCCCAUAUAUUUGACUCAACUAGGUCAGAACUGCGAGCUGGUGGCCAAUGCCAUUCUCCAUUCUCAAGUACAACAUUCACCUUCGCACACGGGUCGAAACCUGUGAUCAAGGGGAGGGUUGGCCAUCUAUUCAACAAAACUCCUGUUGGGUGCCAUGGAUCGCCCAAAGUACCAAGAGCCUGAAGAAAGCGAUACUGUCCAAAUAGUUUUCCACCGCAGUUUGUACCCAUUUCACCCGUAGAGACUCGUUAUUAGGGGUGAUGAUGUUCCACAAAUAACGCAGCAUGAGUGAAAGAUUAACAGAUUCCACACUGUGAAUUCCCAAUCCUCCUUGGUCCUUGGCGCGGCAGACUUGUGCCCAGCCGACCUUUGCACAACCCCUAUCGCUGAGUCCCUUCUAUAAGAAUGUCCUGAGAAGACUUUCAAUAUGUCGAGUAAUGCCCUUUGGCAAGAUAAAAAGCUUGCCCCCAAUAGUAAUACAUGGCUGUAAGGACAGAUUUAAUUAGCUGAGCUUUAGCUGCGAAGGAUAGUCCCCUGCUCCCGUAUGAGCCUAUUCUAUCUUCAAUCUUUUUGAUGAGUGGUUGAUAGUUGCUAUUCGUGAGUCUUGAGGAGGUAAGUGGUACUCCCAGAUACUUUACAGGAAAGGAGCCUAAAGGAAACCCCAUCACUCCCAGGAGCUCCUGCUGGUGAGGUACUGCAGACUUAGAAAGAAGGAUCUGGCUUUUCUGUCCAGAUAAUGCAGCAAAUCCAUCAAGAGCAUGUUUGAAAAACCAUCAGUGAUUCCAUGGAUGCUUUGCUAAACAUCAAAAGGUCGUCAGUGAAGCAAAGGAUAGUCAAGGAGAUCUCCUUACAACGUCAGUGGUAGGAAAAAUUUGAACUAGACUGGAUCUUGGCUUUAACGGAUAGAUGAACAACUUCCAUACAAGAACAAAAGUAUAAGGAGAUAGGGGAUCUCCCUGUCUUAAGCCACGAGUGCCUCGAAAGUAGCCAUGUAGCUCACCGUGUAUUGAGAUUGAGUAGCUUGCACAAGUGAUGCACUCCAUUAUCCAAUGAAUAUACAAUGGUGGGAAUUUGAA